rfam:Hordeum vulgare subsp. vulgare, WGS project CAJW01000000 data, contig: morex_contig_1563240
CACAUACUCCCUCCGUCCGAAAUUACUUUUCAUAGAAAUGGAUGUAUCUAGACAUAUUUUAGAUCUAGAUACAUCCAUUUAUUUCCAUUUUGGUGACAACUAAUUCUGUACGGUGCGAGUACUUC